GGGUGCCUGGGAAACCAGGCCGCAGAGAAUAGGCUCAAGCAACUGUUUAGCAAAAACACAGGUCUAUGCGAAACCGAAAGGUGAGGUAUAUGGGCUGACGCCUGCCCGGUGCUGGAAGGUUAAGAGGAGAGGUUAGCGCAAGCGAAGCUUUGAAUUUAAGCCCCAGUAAACGGCGGCCGUAACUAUAACGGUCCUAAGGUAGCGAAAUUCCUUGUCGGGUAAGUUCCGACCCGCACGAAAGGCGUAAUGAUUUGAGCGCUGUCUCGACAAUGCACCCGGUGAAAUUGAAGUACCAGUGAAGAUGCUGGUUACCUGCGCCAGGACGGAAAGACCCCAUGGAGCUUUACUCCAGUCUGGUACUGGGACUCGGUAUUGCAUGUACAGGAUAGGUGGGAGGCUAGGAGAUGGUAACGCCAGUUGCCAUGGAGCCGCUGUUGGGAUACCACCCUUGCAGUAUUGGGUUUCUAACCAGCCGCCGUGACCCGGCGGUGGGACAAUGCCAGACGGGGAGUUUGACUGGGGCGGUCGCCUCCGAAAGGGUAUCGGAGGCGCCCAAAGGUUCCCUCAGAAUGGACGGAAACCAUUCGAAGAGUGCAAAGGCAGAAGGGAGCUUGACUGCGACACCGACGGGUGGAGCAGGUACGAAAGUAGGGCUUAGUGAUCCGGUGGUAUUAAGUGGGAAUGCCAUCGCUCAACGGAUAAAAGCUACCCUGGGGAUAACAGGCUUAUCACUCCCAAGAGUUCACAUCGACGGAGUGGUUUGGCACCUCGAUGUCGGCUCAUCGCAUCCUGGGGCUGUAGUAGGUCCCAAGGGUUGGGCUGUUCGCCCAUUAAAGCGGUACGCGAGCUGGGUUCAGAACGUCGUGAGACAGUUCGGUCCCUAUCCGGCGUGGGCGUAGGAUAUUUGAGAGGAGCUGUCCUUAGUACGAGAGGACCGGGAUGGACUGACCUCUGGUGUAUCUGUUGGGUAUCAAGCCCAUGGCAGAGUAGCCAAGUCGGGACGGGAUAAACGCUGAAGGCAUCUAAGCGUGAAGCCCCCCUCAAGAUGAGAUAUCCCAUCGCAAGAGUAAGACCCCUUGAAGACGACGAGGUAGAUAGGUCAGAGGUGGAAGUGCAGCAAUGUACGGAGCUGACUGAUACUAAUCGGUCGAGGGCUUAACCAG
rnacentral:rRNA from 1 species